GUCCGCGCCCCUGUACUGUCUUCACACUCGCCAUCACCUUGCACACCCUGCGGCACCACACGACCGCCACGGAGCCUGUGGGGCCCUCCUGUGUCUCAAACCCGAGCCCUUCCCCGGCGCCCACAUCCAGGUUGCCAACUAGGAGGAGGCAGGCCUGGGGCACUGGCAGGAGGACGGGUGGGCACAGGAAAACCUGCCUGAAGAUGAGGUCAUGAGGAAGGCAGCACAGAAGGAUGGGAGAAGAGGCCUUAAGACACAUAAUGUGAGCACCUGGAUCCAGCUGUGCCUGAAGCCCCUUGGACUUCCAGGUUAUGUAAGCCCAUUCCUUACAACCCUUUGCAUUUGUUUUCUGCCCCUUGCAAAUAAAAGACCAUGACCUUUCACGCUA